AGGGGCACGGGUGAGUAACGCGUGGAUAACCUGCCCUGGUAUCUGGAAUAACAUCUCGAAAGGGGUGCUAAUACCGGAUAAGCUUACCUUCGGAAAAGGUGCGUAUCAGGAUGGGUCCGCGUACCAUUAGCUAGUUGGUGGGGUAAUGGCCCACCAAGGCGACGAUGGUUAGCUGGUCUGAGAGGAUGAUCAUCCACACUGGAACUGAGACACGGUCCAGACUCCUACGGGAGGCAGCAGUGGGGAAUUUUGCGCAAUGGGGGAAACCCUGACGCAGCAACGCCGCGUGAGUGAUGAAGGCUUUCGGGUCGUAAAGCUCUGUCAGUGGGGAAGAAUGACGGUACCCACAAAGGAAGCACCGGCUAACUCCGUGCCAGCAGACGCGGUAAUACGGAGGGUGCAAGCGUUGUUCGGAUUUAUUGGGCGUAAAGCGCGUGUAGGCG
rnacentral:rRNA from 1 species